rnacentral:rRNA from 1 species
UACGUAGGGUGCAAGCGUUGUCCGGAAUUAUUGGGCGUAAAGAGCUCGUAGGCGGUCUGUCGCGUCUGCUGUGAAAAUCCAGGGCUCAACCCUGGACCUGCAGUGGGUACGGGCAGACUAGAGUGCGGUAGGGGAGAUCGGAAUUCCUGGUGUAGCGGUGAAAUGCGCAGAUAUCAGGAGGAACACCGGUGGCGAAGGCGGUUCUCUGGGCAUGUCCUGACGCUGAGGAGCGAAAGCGUGGGGAGCGAACAGG